UCUGAGCUCCCUACCUCCUGAGAUACUCAGAAUCCAUGCACGUAAAGUCCAGUCACCAAAUGGGUUAGGGCACAAAAUUACUCAAAGACGAAAAUAUCAGAGCCAAAACUGCAGACUUACCAGGAGCAAGAUCCUACUUUUUCCUACUAGGCACAGUGGACCGUCAAUAACUCAGUGAAAACCCAGGGAUUGGUAGAAAGCUCCCACUCUGCUCCCGGGCUAACUGAAAUCAUUCAGUUUCUGAUAUACAAAAGGAUCCAUUGACCUCCUGUCACUGACGACUUGGUGCUUGAAAGCCUGGAGUUGACAUGGUAAUAGAUAGCAGAACUCCAAUCAAGAGCUGCUACAGAUGCCUUCAUUCUAAAAAGCACACAGUUCACCCGUCUGCAUUAUUCUUCAUGACCUGCGGAAUGUGCAAAAAUAGUUGAAGGACCAGUGCACCUGAAGCCAGCCACAAGCCAGAACCUGCUAACAAUGCAUUAUGACUACCUCAAAGGACAGGCAAAAAGAAGCCAAUGGGAGAAAUGUUCCCUCUCCUCCUGAAGGACAAUGCAGGAGGCUUCCCGUUGUCCUAGCCCACAUAUUGUUCUUACUCCUGAGACAAGCAUCUUGCCAGGAGUUGUGCUAGUCCCUUCAUGUUUUGCUAUCUUCCCUUCUCUUCUGUUAAUAAAGAACAUUGCCUUCUGUGUA